rnacentral:lncRNA from 1 species
UCAAUCAAAAAUCAUCAACCACCACCAUCUAAAAAUCAAAAUAACAAACCCAAAAAAAAUAAGAAGCAAAAAGAAGAAACAGAAGCAAGAAGAAAGAAAAAGAGAAGAGGAUGAAGUUUGAGAGAAGGGAGAAGACAGAAGAGAGAACGUGAGAGUGAGAAAAACGAAGAGAGAGAAAGAAAGUGGAGAAAUGAGAGGGGGAUUUGAUAUUGUGAUCCUGUGUGCGCGCGCGUACGCGAGCUACGCUGCACCAACCCUUGAUCUUUGAUCAAGUGGCUGAUAUGGGGAAGGAGAGAGAAGGAGACAAGGGGUGAAGGAGAGGAUCCAGGUCCAUGAUUCCUUGAUAAUGCAGUGAAAUGUAAAUGUAUCUUUCACCAUAGCUUUUGUUAUUUAUGCUUGUUAAUUUAUAUGCACUAUAAAACCUUUGUAUAUAAAUAGAUCUAAUUAAAUCACUCUAUUGUGUCAUUUUUAUAGAUUAGUUUAUAAAUAUUUCC